UACGAAGGGAGCUAGCGUUGUUCGGAAUCACUGGGCGUAAAGCGCACGUAGGCGGAUGUGUCAGUCAGGGGUGAAAUCCCGGAGCUCAACUUCGGAACUGCCUCUGAUACAGCACGUCUUGAGUCCGAUAGAGGUGGGUGGAAUUCCUAGUGUAGAGGUGAAAUUCGUAGAUAUCAAGAGGAACACCUGAGGUGAAGACGGGUUGCUGGGCCAACACUGACGCUGAGGCGCGAAAGCCAGGGGAGCAAACGGG
rnacentral:rRNA from 1 species